rnacentral:rRNA from 1 species
GAGUUUGAUUAUGGCUCAGAGUGAACGCUGGCGGCGUGCCUAAUACAUGCAAGUCGAACGGAGAUUAAAGUAAGCUUGCUUAUUUUAAUCUUAGUGGCGCACGGGUGAGUAAUGUAUAGCUAAUCUGCCAUACACUAGAGGACAACAGUUGGAAACGACUGCUAAUACUCUAUACUCCUUCUUUACAUAAGUUAAGUCGGGAAAGUUUUUCGGUGUAGGAUGAGGCUAUAUCGUAUCAGCUAGUUGGUGAGGUAAUGGCUCACCAAGGCUAUGACGCGUAACUGGUCUGAGAGGAUGAUCAGUCACACUGGAACUGAGACACGGUCCAGACUCCUACGGGAGGCAGCAGUAGGGAAUAUUGCUCAAUGGGGGAAACCCUGAAGCAGCAACGCCGCGUGGAGGAUGACACUUUUCGGAGCGUAAACUCCUUUUCUUGGGAAAGAAUUAUGACG